CGUGAGCGGCGGACGGGUGAGUAACGCGUGGGUAACCGUGCCUCAUACAGGGGGAUAACAGUUGGAAACGGACUGCUAAUACCGCAUAAGCGCACAGUACCGCAUGGUACGGUGUGAAAAACUCCGGUGGUAUGAGAUGGACCCGCGUCUGAUUAGGUAGUUGGUGGGGUAACGGCCUACCAAGCCGACGAUCAGUAGCCGACCUGAGAGGGUGACCGGCCACAUUGGGACUGAGACACGGCCCAA
rnacentral:rRNA from 1 species